rnacentral:lncRNA from 1 species
AACUUGUCAAACGGAACGAAGAGAAUUAGUUGACAGUAACAGCGUUAAAUCAGAGACCAACUCUCAACCAUCUUUUAUUCGUAGUUUGUCAGCAUCUGAGUCGGAAUCCUGGUCUGAUGACUUAGAAAAUGAAGCAACUGCUCACUUACUCGCCAAUUUGACACAUAUAGACGAUAUGUUGUAUUGCACUUCACCAGUUACAAGUAACCAAGAACUAUUUCACGAGAUCAAGCUAUGGCAAAGCCGUUUUCCUUUUUUAAGGGUGGUUGGCAAAAAAGUGAAGAUACUGGACAACAGUACCAACAUCAACCAAGAAACCAAUAGAGAGAAAGAAGAAAUCAUUUUCAAUGACGCUAAUCUCACUAGUACUGACCUUGAACCAGUAACAUCCAACUCAGGGAAUAUUUUACACCUGAAAAAGCAACUGAGAAGGUCCGUGAUAGAUCAUCUGACAACUCACUUCAUUUAUGCCAUGAAAGAUGAAAUAAUUCAGUGUUCGAAACAUAAAAUCUGUAAACCAGCAUCCAAAGUAAAUAAAGCUCCAAAUAAAAUGUCUGACAUUAAUGACAAUAGUCUGCGAGUACAUGAUUUGGAUAACAUUUUGAAUAUUUCACCAAUAUCACUCAAGGCAACAGGGCCAAAAUCAAAUUACUUAUCUUCGUUUUCAACCAAUAGAGUGAGAAAUUCACAGGUAAAAUCCUCUGUUAGUCAACCAAUCCAUCUUCGCAUUGAGCAGAGAACAUCGACCAAAAUCACUCAACAACCCUUCAGAAAUGCAACCGAUAAUGUGAAAAUCAGUAUCGUGGCAAAUUUAAGCAGAACUUCCAAGCCUGCCAAAAAGUCUCUCGAACUGAAAUUGAGGAAGGACAACCUGAAGACCUCCAAAAAUAUCGAAUCAUCAACUUCAAAUCGAUCUCGUUUUUGUACCCUGCCACCGUUGAAAACUCCCGGACUUCGCCCUACUUCAGCGGUAUACAGUAGCUUCAAAAAGCUUCCCAGUGAUUCUAGACCAACGUCAUCUUUCAUCCUUGCUCCUUCAUCGCUAAUGAAUGAAUCUUCGGAAAACGAUUCAUCUUUAUGAACUGAAGAGUGUUUGAAUUGCAAACACUUUUGAGGUGUCAAUUUCAUUGCGUGUCAUCACGUAGUUCAAUGACUUGAACUGUUUGGAAGAUACUCACGAGAUGAAUGAAUAUACUGACACAGGAUCAGUCCUGUCUUUAGCAAGCAAUGUAUUCAUUUUUGUCGAUGGUUCUCAUCGUG